AGCAACACUCCAACGACGCCCACCGUCAUAGUUUCCGGCGAUCCUGCGCCAGUUGUCGUUCACGGCAGCCCCUACACCUUCUCCAGCAAACCAACUCCGUUGCCGUCACCACCACCGUUACCGUCAUCUUCACUAGCUCCGGACAGCCCCAUCACUCUCGGCCUCCUAUGCUUCAGUCAGCUACACAGAGCCUGCACAUCGUUCCCCUGCACCACACCAGUUCCAGGAAGUCAGCACCCCUGCUCCCGACAACCCUCCGGCGACCACGACCCAAGCCUAUGGCAGCAGCACCAGAAGACCUGCGGGCCACUCCACCUUGCAGAAACGUAGGCCAGCCCUCCAUCCUACCUCCACGGACUAUUGUUGUCAUGGCAUUUGUUUUCAAGUUUAGAUUUUUAUUGUGUUUGUUAAUAUAUAGUAUUCAUAUUCAUGGUAGGUUUUGGUUGUAUUAUUUAUAUACAUUAAUUUUCUUUAUUUGUGGAAUGUUCACAGUUG